rnacentral:lncRNA from 1 species
CUCCUAUGUCCCCCAAAACAGUGCCACCAACCGGGGGCCAAGUGUUCAAGUAGCUGAGACUGUGGGGUACACUCUCAUUUAACUCAGCACAGGUAUAUGCACGGAUGCACAUUUGUAAUUAAAACAGAGAUGAUCCUUAGUGUGGCUAGCAAUUACGCUGCGUGUAUUAGCUCCUAUAGCUCCAAUUGCAGCCUGUUUCCUGCCCCCAAGAGUGAGGCCUGAGAGGUCGGAUGCCUUGUCCUCUGCCUAUAUCCCAGGCACGGUACAUAGAGCUUAAUAUCCAACAAACGUGUUGAAUUAAAUGGAGCUACAAGUAAAUACCGAGGGCUAUCGGCAUGAUUAAACGGGAAUGUGUGCUCGCUCACAGAUCACCUGGUUAUCAUAUCAUUAAUUAUUGCAAUAAAUAAUUUUAACACUUUGUUGAAAUACAGUUCGCGUAGCAUUUCUUGAAAUAAAAUUCACCCAUUUAAAGCCUG